rnacentral:rRNA from 1 species
GUCGAGAAUCUUUCGCAAUGCCCGAAAGGGUGACGAAGCGACGCCGCGUGUGGGAUGAAGGCCUUCGGGUUGUAAACCACUGUCGGGAGUUAAGAAUUGUAGGAAUGCUAAUAGUAUUUCUACUUGACUAAGGCUCCGGAGGAAGCCACGGCUAACUCUGUGCCAGCAGCCGCGGUAAUACAGAGGCGGCAAGCGUUGUUCGGAAUUAUUGGGCGUAAAGAGCAUGUAGGCGGCUAUGUAAGUCGGUUGUGAAAGCCUUCCGCUUAACGGAAGAAUGGCGGUCGAAACUGCAUGGCUUGAGUGCGGGAGGGGAGAGUGGAACUUCUGGUGGAGCGGUGAAAUGCGUAGAUAUCAGAAGGAACGUCGGCGGCGAAAGCGACUCUCUAGACCGUAACUGACGCUGAGUGUGCGAAAGCUAGGGGAGCAAACGGGAUUAGAAACCCUUGUAGUCC